rnacentral:rRNA from 1 species
UCUGAAUAUGGGGGGACCAUCCUCCAAGGCUAAAUACUCCUGACUGACCGAUAGUGAACCAGUACCGUGAGGGAAAGGCGAAAAGAACCCCGGCGAGGGGAGUGAAAAAGAACCUGAAACCGUGUACGUACAAGCAGUGGGAGCACAGGUUUACCUGUGUGACUGCGUACCUUUUGUAUAAUGGGUCAGCGACUUAUAUUCUGUAGCAAGGUUAACCGAAUAGGGGAGCCGCAGGGAAACCGAGUCUUAACCGGGCGUUAAGUUGCAGGGUAUAGACCCGAAACCCGGUGAUCUAGCCAUGGGCAGGUUGAAGGUUGGGUAACACUAACUGGAGGACCGAACCGACUAAUGUUGAAAAAUUAGCGGAUGACCUGUGGCUGGGGGUGAAAGGCCAAUCAAACCGGGAGAUAGCUGGUUCUCCCCGAAAGCUAUUUAGGUAGCGCCUCGUGAACUCAUCUCCGGGGGUAGAGCACUGUUUCGGCUAGGGGGUCAUCCCGACUUACCAACCCGAUGCAAACUGCGAAUACCGGAGAAUGUUAUCACGGGAGACACACGGCGGGUGCUAACGUCCGUCGUGAAGAGGGAAACAACCCAGACCGCCAGCUAAGGUCCCAAAGUCAUGGUUAAGUGGGAAACGAUGUGGGAAGGCCCAGACAGCCAGGAUGUUGGCUUAGAAGCAGCCAUCAUUUAAAGAAAGCGUAAUAGCUCACUGGUCGAGUCGGCCUGCGCGGAAGAUGUAACGGGGCUAAACCAUGCACCGAAGCUGCGGCAGCGAC